UAUUUAUGUAUCUUUUUUGUGACGAAUUAGAUAAUUUGUCACCAAUUGGUGAUGGGAAGGUCUAUACAAUGUCGUUUUGAUUUCUUUUUAUACUUAUUUGUGACUAAAAUCUCCCCAGGGAAAAAACCAAUUCGUUUUUCCCCAACUAUCUCCCCUCACUUUUCCUACUAUGGCACCAUUCUCUGUUCUAAUUUUAAUCAAACUCUAUCAUCCCGUCAUUCGCUCUCAUAGUAUCUGCAUCACAUUUUUUUUUUCCCACUCAAACCCUAGCUUUCUCUCAAUAAACAAUUUAUUAUCCUGGAGUCUCCUCGUCACCAAUCGGCUGCUCUUAAAGAGAUAGAGAGAGUAGAACACUAGGUCGCCAAUCGAUUACCCUCAAAUCUUAUAAAUUCCACAAUCUUUUUAUGGAAUCCCACUCAACUACUCCCUUCAUAUUCUCUUCUCAAUAUUUUUUUUCUUGUAUUAAUUUUUCGAUCUUGAUUGCCUUCAAUCUCUAUCUAAUAUAUGUUGAGAGAAUUGCAGAACUGAAAUUCUACAUGUGAUUGGGUCUGACCAUCAUUUCAUGACAGCCCAGGCUUCCCUCUGUUAACCCUGCUUUGUCUACCUUGCUCAUGAUUACCUUUAAAUAGUAAUUGAGUUGUCUGAGAGAGAACUAAAGGUCAGAUAUUCAAUGUGGGUAGCUCUUACAAUGAGGUCUUAGUCAAAGCUGAAAGUAAAUAAUUCAAUGUAGUUUUAUUAUUUUAUCCUUUUUUUAUGUUGAUAAUGUGCAUUGCUUGGAGGAAUUAAUUUUAAUCAAGUUUAUGAUUAGGAGAAUAUUAUUUAAAUUGUAUAGUUUGACUUUCAUAGAGCCCUAUUGUUCCAUUACAGAACUUUUUCCUGUGUUUUGUUGCAGCUACUGGAGUGGAGUGGCUCUUGCUAGAAUAUUUCUGUAUUCAAGGCUGCUAGAGUGGCUUCAUGUGGAAUUACUAUAUUCAAAGGCGAAGUACAAAAAGCCACAAACACAGUUUGAAGAAUUUUAAGAUUCUAGAAGACUAGUGAUAAGGGAACUUUGGGCGUUCCUCCAUAGAGGGAGAGUUGGGAGUUUGCUUUUAUGUUUUAGUUUGGUCUUUUGUAUUAUAUAAUUGGAAAUUUGGUUAUUCAAAUUUAUGUUAAUUUUGUAUUUGAACUCAGAAUUAUUAUGUAUUUCAUAAUAAAAUUUAAUGUUAUGUUUAAAUUUGUGUUGCUAUAUAAA